CGUAAAACAAACCUGCCUUAAGGAUGGGAUAACAGACGGAAACGACUGCUAAUACCGAAUACGUUCUAAGCAUCGCAUGGUGCAUAGAAAGAAAGGGUGGCCUCUACAAGAAAGCUAUCGCCUUAAGAGGGGUUUGCGACUGAUUAGGUAGUUGGUGAGGUAACGGCUCACCAAGCCGACGAUCAGUAGCCGGUCUGAGAGGAUGAACGGCCACACUGGAACUGAGACACGGUCCAG
rnacentral:rRNA from 1 species